GGGGACGUUCUGGAUUCGACAGGAAUAGGUCGAGCUUAAGUGGCGAGCCGAGGUGGCGAACUCGUUAAAACGCCAUCGCCAAUAACUGGCAAAGAAAACAACAACUUCGCAUUAGCUGCCUAAGCUAGCAAAUGCGGUUCCGCCCUCCAUCGCCCAUGUGGUAGGUGUCGGGACUCACUUUUAGUGGGCUACGCCUCUCACCCUCCGUCUGUGGGUGAAGGAAGAGAUUUAUCAGACUAGCCUUACGGAAGCCUGUCGCUGGGCUGAAGUAACGGCGAAAUGCGAAUACAGUGACUACGCUCGUAGAAGCUUAAGUACUCGUUAUUUCUGGACGUGGGUUCGAUUCCCACCGUCUCCAUUU
rnacentral:tmRNA from 18 species